AUUGAACGCUGGCGGCAGGCCUAACACAUGCAAGUCGAGCGAGCGGCGGACGGGUGAGUAAUGUCUGGGAAGCUGCCUGCUGGAGGGGGAUACCUACUGGAAACGGUUGCUAAUAACGCAUACCAUCAGAUGUGCGCAGAUGGGAUUAGGUAGUAGGGGGGGUAAUGGCUCACCUAGGCGACGAUCCCUCGCUGGUCUGAGAGGAUGACCAGCCACACUGGAACGGAGACACGGUCAAGACUCCUACGGGAGGCAGCAGGGGGGAAUAGGGCACAAUGGGCGCAAGCCUGAUGCAGCCAUGCCGCGUGUGUGAAGAAGGCCUUCGGGUUGUAAAGCACUUUCAGCGAGGAGGCGUUACUCGCAGAAGAAGCACCGGCUAACUCCGUGCCAGCAGCCGCGGUAAUUC
rnacentral:rRNA from 1 species